ACAGUGGGAAAGCAAGUGCCUGAUACUUGCAGUAGCUUCCUGCACAUUCAGCAGUAAAGUCCCUUGUGCUGCUGCUCAUUUGGGCAAACAUUUUCUCCUUCUGUAAGUGUGUGGAUAGAGUUAUGUCUUACUUCUACGGGCAACAUGAAAUACCUGAAGGAGAGUGUACAGACCCUGAUCCUAGAGAGGUGACUUCAGAAGACAUAAGAAGCGAAACAUUUAAUGCCCCACAACAAAUAUCAACCUGUGGAAGCAAUACUUCAGAGAAGGAGACAUUAAACCCUGAGGUAUUAGAAAGGUUGGAGAAGCUGGAAGAAGAAUGUAGUGUGAAUAGGUCUUGGCAUGUUAUCUAUGAGGCUCGACUACAAUCUCUGGAGACGUGCUACAGUGUGUUUUCUGGAAGGGUCAUUCAAAAACAGGUUCCAGAGAAAGAAGAAUGUGAGAAGCUCAAAGAGAGGAUCAGAGAUCUAGAGGCACGAAACCAAAAGCUCUUGUCUCAAGCAAUGAGCAUGCACAACCAGUCAGAAAACGUGAAUGACCCUUUCCACUUGACUGCUGUUCUGAGUAUGUUUAGGACGCUUAAGUUACAAGAAUGGGGAAAAUGCUGGAGCAGCUCAGACCGCUUGUCCUAUUCACGGGCCAGCAACAUUAUUAAGAAGCUGUUUGAUGCCUGUGAGAAAGAUAUUGAGAAGAGAAAAACUGACAUACUUGAAAUCCUUGGCUUUUCAUCUUCAGAUAAUGCUGCGAAUUCCUGCAAACAAGAGCAGAUGCUAGGUAUAAUGAAACUCUUAAGAGAUGGUUAUUACCAUAGCGACUUGGGCAUUUGCGAAAUUAUUAAGCAAGCUGAUGUUCCUCUGAGAAGUAUGAAUCUAAAGCAGUUUGCACAGAAGUGCUGCAGAGUUUUCUGUUUGCUGCUUCUUCAGGACUCACCAGUUAAAGCUGUGUGGUACAUGGAUAUGUGGCCUCAGCAUUAUUUAGAGUACGUGGACCAGCAAGUCAUAACAUACCAUAAAAGAAACAAGCUUCAAAUUCUAUGGCCCGUGCUGACAGAUGGGCAAAAUGUCAUUGAGAAAGGUGUAGCGUAUGAUGGAAUGUAACAAGGCUUUAAUGUCAAGCUUAUACUUAUAUGACCACAAGAAGAUGAAAUAGCUGUUGUGCAAUUUGUUGCUUUUCUUUCUCCUAUGAGCAGCCUGCUUUUCAUAUCUAAUUAAAUGUUUCUGGCUUGGGAUAUCGAGAAUAAACUAUAAUC
rnacentral:lncRNA from 7 species